GGUAUUGAAAUAAGAUUUUAAAUGAGUGCUAAGAGAAUGAUUAAACAAUUAAAAACUUUCUUUAAUUAAAUAAUUAAAUUUAAUUUUUUUGUGCAAAAGCAAAAAUAAAAUUUAGGGACAAGAAGACCCUAUGAAUUUUUAUUAUUAAUAUUUUGCAAUUAAAUUAUUAAUAAUUUAAUUGGGGUGAUAAAAAAAGAAUAAAUAUCUUUUUAAUUAUUAAAUAAGUUCCGUUUUUAGCGAUUAAAUGAAAAAAAUACUCUAGGGAUAACAGCGUAAUAAUUUUGGAUAGUUCAUAUAGAUAAAAUAGUUUGCGACCUCGAUGUUGGAUUAGGAUUCUUUUUUGGUGUAGAA
rnacentral:rRNA from 1 species